rnacentral:rRNA from 1 species
CGGGAAGAGCUCAAAUUUAAAAUCUGGCGUGCCUUUGGUCGUCCGAGUUGUAGUCUGGAGAAGCGUCUUCCGUGUUGGACCGUGUACAAGUCUCUUGGAACAGGGCGUCAUAGAGGGUGAGAAUCCCGU